rnacentral:rRNA from 1 species
AUUGAACGCUGGCGGCAUGCCUUACACAUGCAAGUCGAACGGCAGCACGGGAGCAAUCCUGGUGGCGAGUGGCGAACGGGUGAGUAAUAUAUCGGAACGUGCCCAGUCGUGGGGAUAACGUAGCGAGAGCUACGCUAAUACCGCAUACGAUCUACGGAUGAAAGCGGGGGUCGGCAGACCUCGCGCGAUUGGAGCGGCCGAUAUCAGAUUAGCUAGUUGGUGGGGUAAAGGCCACCAAGCGACGAUCUGUAGCUGGUCUGAGAGGACGACCAGCCACACUGGGACUGAGACACGGACCAGACUCCUAC